rnacentral:rRNA from 1 species
UACGGAGGGUGCAAGCGUUAUCCGGAUUCACUGGGUUUAAAGGGUGCGUAGGAGGGUGAGUAAGUCAGUGGUGAAAUCUUCGAGCUUAACUCGGAAACUGCCGUUGAUACUACUUGUCUUGAAUACCGUGGAGGUGAGCGGAAUAUGUCAUGUAGCGGUGAAAUGCUUAGAUAUGACAUAGAACACCAAUUGCGAAGGCAGCUCACUACACGAAUAUUGACUCUGAGGCACGAAAGCGUGGGGAGCAAACAGG